UUCUGGUUGAUCCUGCCGGACCUGACUGCUAUCGGAUUGAUACUAAGCCAUGCGAGUCUUUGUAGUAAUACAAGGCAGACGGCUCAGUAACACGUAGUCAACCUACCCUAUGGACGAGAAUAAUCUCGGGAAACUGAGCAUAAUUCUUGAUAGAUCAUAAUGCCUGGAAUGGUUUAUGGUUAAAAUGAUUCGUCGCCAUAGGAUGGGACUGCGGCCUAUCAGCUUGUUGGUGAGGUAAUGGCCCACCAAGGCGAUUACAGGUACGGGCUCUGAGAGGAGAAGCCCGGAGAUGGGUACUGAGACACGGACCCAGGCCCUAUGGGGCGCAGCAGGCGAGAAAACUUUGCAAUGUGCGAAAGCACGACAAGGUUAAUCCGAGUGAUUUCUGCUAAAGAAAUCUUUUGCCAGUCGUAAAACCGCUGGUGAAUAAGGGGUGGGCAAGUUCUGGUGCCAGCAGCCGCGGUAAU
rnacentral:rRNA from 1 species